rnacentral:rRNA from 1 species
UACGAAGGGGGCUAGCGUUGUUCGGAAUCACUGGGCGUAAAGCGCUCGUAGGCGGAUCUUUAAGUCAGGGGUGAAAUCCCGAGGCUCAACCUUGGAACUGCCUUUGAUACUGGGGAUCUCGAGUCCGGGAGAGGUGAGUGGAACUGCGAGUGUAGAGGUGAAAUUCGUAGAUAUUCGUAAGAACACCAGUGGCGAAGGCGGCUCACUGGCCCGGUACUGACGCUGAGGAGCGAAAGCGUGGGGAGCAAACAGG